GCGGGUAUGGUUGAAUGGUAAAAUUUCUCUUUGCCAGGGAGAAGAUGCGGGUUCGAUCCCCGCUACCCGCCC
rnacentral:tRNA from 2 species